UUUUUUUUUGUGAAGAAACAAAAAUAAAAAUUAAAGACAAGAAGACCCUAAGAAUUUUCUUUUUUACUUAAUAUAAAAUAUUUUAUUUAAAAAUUUAAUUGGGGCGAUUAAUGAAUAUUAAUAACUUUAUAAAGAAAUAAAAUGAUCCAUUAUUAAUGAUUGUUUGAUUAAAAUACUCUAGGGAUAACAGCGUAAUAAUUUUUGAUAGUUCUUAUAGAAAAAAUAGUUUGCGACCUCGAUGUUGGAUUAGGAUUCUUUUUUAA
rnacentral:rRNA from 1 species